AGGAGUGCAGAACUUGAAAGCCUGUGGAUUUGGCAAAAAUCAUACUUUGACAUGCUAGGUUGGGCACUUACACCAAUGGUUGAAGCUCGACAAUGCUGAAGUUCUCAUUGAGCUCGACUAGAAAGGUGUUAAGAGUCUUCUUGUAUUUCCAGUCAGCUUUGUGAGCAAGCACAUGGAAACACUUGAAAAAAUUGACAUGGAGCACAGGGAGUUGCCUCUUGAAUGCGGCACUCAAAACUGGGGAUGUGUAUCAGUUUUAAAUACACUUAAGAUUAAUGGAUGUGUGAUAAUGAAGACUUUUGGUUAUGGAGAACAACUAACACUAAAGCUCAACAAUGUUGUGAUACAUCCAUUG